ensembl:snRNA U6 U6 spliceosomal RNA
AUGCUCACUUCAGCAACACAAAUAUUAAAACUGUAAUAACAAAGAGCAGAUUAGCAGAUUAACAUGGAUCUUGCAUGAGAAUGACAAGCAAAUUUGAAAAGCAUCCUGUAUUUUU